rnacentral:rRNA from 1 species
UACGAAGGGGGGCUAGCGUUGUUCGGAAUUACUGGGCGUAAAGCGCACGUAGGCGGAUUUGUAAGUCAGGGGUGAAAUCCCGGGGGCUCAACCUCGGAACUGCCUUUGAUACUGCAAGUCUUGAGUCCGGAAGAGGUGAGUGGAAUUCCUAGUGUAGAGGUGAAAAUUCGUAGAUAUUAGGAAGAACACCAGUGGCGAAGGCGGCUCACUGGUCCGGUACUGACGCUGAGGUGCGAAAGCGUGGGGGAGCAAACAGG